rnacentral:rRNA from 1 species
AACGAACGCUGGCGGCAUGCCUAACACAUGCAAGUCGAACGAGACCUUCGGGUCUAGUGGCGCACGGGUGCGUAACGCGUGGGAUCCUGCCCUUAGGUUCGGAAUAACUCCCCGAAAGGGGUGCUAAUACCGGAUAAUGUCUUCGGACCAAAGAUUUAUCGCCUUUGGAUGGGCCCGCGUUGGAUUAGCUAGUUGGUAGGGUAAAAGCCUACCGAGGCGACGAUCCAUAGCUGGUCUGAGAGGAUGAUCAGCCACACUGGGACUGAGAAACGGCCCAGACUCCUACGGGAGGCAGCAGUGGGGAAUAUUGGACAAUGGGCGAAAGGCUGAUCCAGCAAGGCCGCGUGAGUGAUGAAGGUCGUAGGGUUGUAAAGCUCGUUUACCCGGGAUGAUAAUGACAGUACCGGGAGAAUAAGCUCCGGCUAACUCCGUG